AGAACGAACGCUGGCGGCGUGCUUAAUACAUGCAAGUUGUACGUGAAUCCUUGGGCAACUGAGGAGGAAAGUAGCGAACGGGUGAGUAACACGUAAGUAAUCUGCCCUUAAGACUGGGAUAACCUUGCCAACGCGGGGCUAAUACCGGAUGUGAUCCAGUUAACGCAUGUUGAUUGGAUUAAAGGAGCAAUCCGCUUAAGGAUGAACUUGCGCCCCAUUAGCUUGUUGGCGGGGUAACGGCCCACCAAGGCUGAGAUGGGUAGCCGGCCUGAGAGGGUGUACGGCCACAUUGGGACUGAGAUACGGCCCAGACUCCUACGGGAGGCAGCAGUAGGGAAUUUUGCGCAAUGGACGAAAGUCUGACGCAGCAACGCCGCGUGAGGGAUGAAGGCCUUCGGGUUGUAAACCUCUGUUGAGUGGGAAAAAAAUCCUAGCAAUAGGACUGAUGGUACCAUUCGAGUAAGCACCGGCUAACUACGUGCCAGCAGCCGCGGUAAUACGUAGGGUGCAAGCGUUGUUCGGAAUCACUGGGCGUAAAGGGAGCGUAGGCGGGAUCGUAAGUUAGGAGUUUAAUACGCGGGCUUAACCCGCGCUCGGCUUUUAAUACUGCGGUUCUUGAAUAUGGGAGAGGAUGAUGGAAUUCCAGGUGUAGCGGUGGAAUGCGUAGAUAUCUGGAAGAACACCAGUAGCGAAGGCGGUCAUCUGGCCCAAUAUUGACGCUGAGGCUCGAAAGCUAGGGGAGCAAACAGGAUUAGAUACCCUGGUAGUCCUAGCCGUAAACGAUGUACACUAGUUGCUGGAGGAGUUACUCUUUUCGGUGACGAAGCUAACGCAUUAAGUGUGCCGCCUGGGGAGUAC
rnacentral:rRNA from 1 species